rnacentral:rRNA from 1 species
CCCUUAGAUGUCCUGGGCCGCACGCGCGCUACACUGAUGCAUUCAACGAGUUUUACCUUGGCCGAGAGGCCUGGGCAAUCUUUUAAACCUGCAUCGUGAUAGGGAUAGAUUAUUGCAAUUAUUAAUCUUGAACGAGGAAUUCCUAGUAAACGCAAAUCAUCAAUUUGCGUUGAUUACGUCCCUGCCCUUUGUACACACCGCCCGUCGCACCUACCGAUUGAAUGGUCCGGUGAAGCCUCGGGAUUGUGGCCAGUUCACUUUAUUGGGAGUUGGCUGUGAGAACUUGUCUAAACCUUAUCAUUUAGAGGAAGGUGAAGUCGUAACA